UACGUAGGGUGCGAGCGUUGUCCGGAAUUACUGGGCGUAAAGAGCUCGUAGGUGGUUUGUCGCGUUGUCCGUGAAAACUCACAACUCAAUUGUGGGCGUGCGGGCGAUACGGGCAGACUGGAGUACUGCAGGGGAGACUGGAAUUCCUGGUGUAGCGGUGAAAUGCGCAGAUAUCAGGAAGAACACCCGUGGCGAAGGCGGCUCUCUGGGACGGUACUGACGCUGAGACGGCGAAAGCGUGGGGAGCAAACAGG
rnacentral:rRNA from 1 species